GCUCCCUUAGCUCAGCUGGUUAGAGCCCCGAACUCAUAAUUCGGUCGUCGUCGGUUCAAGUCCGACAGGGAGCA
rnacentral:tRNA from 1 species